rnacentral:rRNA from 1 species
UACGUAGGGUGCAAGCGUUGUCCGGAAUUAUUGGGCGUAAAGAGCUCGUAGGCGGUCUGUCGCGUCGGCUGUGAAAACCCGGAGCUCAACUCCGGGCCUGCAGUCGAUACGGGCAAACUAGAGUGUGGUAGGGGAGACUGGAAUUCCUGGUGUAGCGGUGAAAUGCGCAGAUAUCAGGAGGAACACCGAUGGCGAAGGCGGGUCUCUGGGCAAUAACUGACGCUGAGGAGCGAAAGCGUGGGGAGCGAACAGG